rnacentral:rRNA from 1 species
CAAUAGCGUAUAUUUAAGUUGUUGCAGUUAAAAAGCUCGUAGUUGGAUUUCGGAUGGGACUUGCCGGUCCGUCGUUUCGAUGUGCACUGGCCAGUCCUAUCUUGUUGUCGGGGACUAGCUCCUGGGCUUCACUGUCCGGGACUAGGAGCCGACGAGGUUACUUUGAGUAAAUUAGAGUGUUCAAAGCAAGCCUACGCUCUGAAUACAUUAGCAUGGAAUAACACGAUAGGACUCUGGCUUAUCUUGUUGGUCUGUGAGACCAGAGUAAUGAUUAAGAGGGACAGUCGGGGGCAUUCGUAUUUCAUUGUCAGAGGUGAAAUUCUUGGAUUUAUGAAAGACGAACUUCCGCGAAAGCAUUUGUCAAGGAUGUUUUCAUUAA